AUUCUAAUAAAAUAUAAGAAAAUAUUCAUGUGAAUUUCCUCCAUGCACUUGACAUAUAUUCUGAUUAUAACAAAUAAAAAUGUUUUGCCAUUAUAUUCACUGCUGCAUUCAGGGUUCUCCAUGGAUGAAAAUUGAACGAUGGAGGAACUUUCAGCAUCACAACUUUGUCUUUGCUGUAAAGUGUAGCGUGAUCAAAAGUAUUUCAUCCCUCCAUGUAAGGAAUGGUGAACAUGCUAAUUCAUUGCUUAUUUAAAUUAUAUUUUUUUGAAUUUUUAUUGUAGACGUAUAAUAUUUUCAUUAAUUGCCGUUUGUAACCGGAAACGCAGAUGUAUCAAUUGGAUUGUAAACUACGAAAUGAAUUCGGACGGAAUAACGAUAAGAUAUUUCUUCACAGUAAAUAUUUAAGUUUUUAACUUUUAAAGUAAUUCUGUGUUAUCAUUACAGUACUAGAGUUAUUUGCGAUGAAAUAAUAUUAAUGUUUUACGUCUUAUUUUGUACUUCUUAAAAAAGGGGGAUGCAGAUUGCGUAAGUCAAAAUCUCAGGUCAAAAUAAAAGCACAUGUUCGUCUUGUUAAACUGUUUUCUUUGUAACUGGAUUAUUAAUUUAUUUAUUUAAUCUAAAUUAUCAUAAGCAUUUGCUGAUACUUAAUCGAAUAAUUCAAUAAAGGAAUCGUCUAUCUUCAGAUAGUAUUCUGUCUGGUUUGUUUAUCUACCUGUACAAGCUCAGACGAGCUCAGGUACCGGCGUUUUGCAUUUGCGCCGAUCUGCAUUUCAUUUGCGCCGAUUUUUUCUUUCAUUUGCGCUGAUUUUUGUUUUCAUUUGCGCCGAUUUUUUUACAGGUAAAUUACAGGUUAAUUACAGGUGAAUAGAUAUAAGAAGAUGUGGUAUGAGUGCAAAUGAGACAACUCUCCAUCCAAGUCAUGUUUUUUUUAUAUUUGUCAUUAUAGACCUCUUCCGUCAUCCAGUUGUACACUAUAUUUACAUACUUUAAAAUCAAGAAGUAAAAACCUUAGAGAAAAACACUCUGGUUUAUACUAAAAUGACUUUUUAAAAUCUAUUUACAGCAUUCAAAUCCAUAAAAACGGAAGACAUUAAAAUCAUAAAUCUGUUCUUGCUGAGUAUUUAUAGGCAACAUAUCUAAUAUGUUCCUUUCAUGUGAUUUCGUCUCUUCUAUAUUUGUUGUAAUUGUCAAUUUUAUAACGUAAUCCAUCUUUUCUUUGUCUUGCUAACGUACUUAUGUGUGUGGCCGUCGAUGGUUAAAAAAAUUGACUCCUCGGCUCGUUACAGUGUGCAAUAAUUACAGCAAAGUUCAGAACAAUAUGAAUCAAAAUUAACUAAAACCUAUGUUUAUAAACAGAUUUUACCAAUAUACCUGCACGGUAUAGUACAUGUACAAGUAUUAACUUACCUGUAAAUCCAAUUAGGAGCAAAUAUAAAAUCGGCGCAAAUGAAAGAAUGAAAAUUUUAAAAAUCGGCGCAAAUGUCAUACACCCUCAGGUACAAGUGAUUAGCAAACUUAAUCCGGAUAUCCCUCAGGCGUUAGAACUGUAUUGGAUUAUUACAUAAAAAAAGCCUUAGGGUUAUGCAAUAACAUGCAUUUGAUUAUAAUUGCUAAUACAAUGGCGUCCGGAUAUAAAAAAAAAAACGAUAGCAAUUUUGAACGAUGGCAGAAGACAAUUUAACAAUGGCACGGGUCAUUUGACGAUGGCACAAGAUAUUUGAUUUGGCGGGGCGCUAUCCUUAAACAGGCCAUGGAGAUCCCUGUACAUUAUAAUGAGGGGGUACCACCAUAUUGGUUUUAAUGCAUUGAAACUAAACUAAAUUUGCUACACUCAAUAUAAAUUUGAUGCAGAAACUCAAUAAGAUACAAUGCAAUUAUAUUUUAAAUCUUGACUACCUAGCAGAAUACUAGCCCAUUGAAAAAUGUGAUUAAAGAAAAAUGAAAGACCAUAAAAUCAGUUUCCUUACUUAUAACACAGACCAUUCAUUUAAAUGGGAAAAUGGUACCCACAGAAAAUUAUGUUCUACAUACCUCAUUUUUUUCUCUUUUUUUUUUUAAUAUGAGUUUUUUUUAAUAUGAGCAACAUUAUUAUAAUAAAUUGAUUUUAGAAAAUGUAAAAGUACAAUACUUUUCCCUUGCACUAGUUCAUGUAAAGUGUAUUUUGAAAGUUUAAAUUUCAAGUGAAGCUGUGUUGGUUGCACCAAUAUACAAAUUUUCAAUUUGAUUCCACAAGUUCCGUUUUAGUUGCCAUAGAAGAGGUAUUAAGUAAAAAUUUGCAAAGGCAUGUUAGGGUGAAAGUCCAUGAGUUGUAGAAUGUAUGUAUGAGGUCUGAUGUUAAUGUAAUGUCUGUUAGGGUUGUGUUAUUUAGUGGGUUGUAUGCUAUUAUAUGUUUUAUCAUUCCAAUCAUUGUGUCAUAGUUUGCAAUCUUUUAAUUUUUACAGAUUUUAAGCAUAACUCAUAAACAAAUGGCUUUGAUUUAAAGAUUGAAGAAUUUAUAUUAACUUGUCUAUGAACAAUCUUGUAGAUUCAUCAAAGUUUUGUAAUUUUUAGUGUUUAUACCAUGAAGAAUAACAUCUAUAUUAUGAGGAUAUUUUUGAACAAAUUUUAUUUUAUAAUGACUACAAGAAGAUUUGGAGUAUAGAUUAUUGAGAUAGUAGAACAAUAACAAAAAAUACACAAAAGCACCACAAAAAGACAUCUGGGAUGAAACAAUAGACAUGUGUCUUUCCAUUUUGUCAAAGUCAAAAUGGUCAUCAGUCUACAAUUUCUCCAGAUAUUAAAAAAUAUUAAAAUAUGACAUAAAAGAUCAUAAAACAAACUUUCUUUUUGUUGAGGCUUCGACUUCAGUCGUAAAAGCGACACACAACGAUCCUAUAAUCGGUGUCAGCAUUGUUGUCAUCAGUGGCGUCGGCUGCGUCCACAAAUAUUCACUCUCUGGUUAAAGUUUUGAAAUUUUAAUAACUUUCUUAAACUAUCCUAGAUUUCUACCAAACUUGGACAGAAGCCUGAUUAUGAUGAUAAGGUAGUAUCCAUAGGUAAAUUUUGUAGAAAAAACCCUUUUUUUUGUAUUUUAUGUUUAAGUGGACUUAGUUUUUCUGCCAGGAAACAAUACAUUCACUCUGAAGUUAAAGUUUUUAAAAUUUCAAAUACUAUUAUCAUAUACAUGUUUCUGUUUGAUGUUAAAAGUUACCUAUAUUUAUACAAACAAGAUUGGUUAAUGAUUAUUUAGUUUUGUAUUAUUUUUAAAGUUUGUUGAGUAUUGUUCUUUGAUGAGUUCAGUAAUAAAAUAUUCAGUGUUCAUGAC
rnacentral:lncRNA from 1 species